rnacentral:rRNA from 1 species
CACGUAGGAGGCAAACGUUAUCCGGAUUUACUGGGCGUAAAGCGCGUGUAGGUGGUUCUGUAAGUAGGGCGUGAAAGCUCCCGGCUCAACUGGGAGAGUCCGUUCUAGACUGCAGAGCUAGAGGAUGGUAGAGGGAGGUGGAAUUCCAGGUGUAGCGGUGGAAUGCGCAGAUAUCUGGAGGAACACCAGUGGCGAAGGCGGCUCUCUGGUCUGUAACUGACGCUGAGGCUCGAAAGCGUGGGGAGCAAACAGGAUUAGAUACCCCGGUA